AACGCACCUUGCGCUCCUUGGUAUUCCGAGGAGCAUGCCUGUUUGAGUGUCAUCGAAUUCUCAACCAUCCUUUGAUUUAUUUCGAGGGGUGGCUUGGAUUUUGGGAGUUGCCGGCUGACCUUUCGGGGUCGGGUCGGCUCUCCUUAAAAGCAUUAGCGAAAGGCGGCAAGUCUUGCAUGCACGGCCUUCGACGUGAUAAUGAUCGUCGUGGCUGGAGUGCGAGGUGUAGAUCGACCUUUGCUUCUAAACAUAUAUCGUACUUGGGGGACUUUGCUUUCGGGCGGACGACCCUUUUUACUUUUCUGACGCUUGACCUCAAAUCAGGUAGGACUACCCGCUGAACUUAA
rnacentral:misc_RNA from 1 species